rnacentral:rRNA from 1 species
UACGUAGGGCGCAAGCGUUGUCCGGAAUUAUUGGGCGUAAAGAGCUCGUAGGCGGCUUGUCACGUCGGGUGUGAAAGCCCGGGGCUUAACCCCGGGUCUGCAUUCGAUACGGGCAGGCUAGAGUGUGGUAGGGGAGAUCGGAAUUCCUGGUGUAGCGGUGAAAUGCGCAGAUAUCAGGAGGAACACCGGUGGCGAAGGCGGGUCUCUGGGCCGUAACUGACGCUGAGGAGCGAAAGCGUGGGGAGCUAACAGG